GAUGAACGCUAGCUACAGGCUUAACACAUGCAAGUCGAGGGGAAACGCUGAGAGAGCUUGCUCUCUUAGGCGUCGACCGGCGCACGGGUGAGUAACGCGUAUCCAACCUACCCAUUACAGGGGGAUAACCUUGCGAAAGUAAGACUAAUACCCCAUGGCAUUUUAUGGUGGCAUCAUUAUAGGAUUAAAGAUUUAUUGGUAAUUGAUGGGGAUGCGUCUGAUUAGCUUGUUGGCGGGGUAACGGCCCACCAAGGCAACGAUCAGUAGGGGUUCUGAGAGGAAGGGCCCCCACAUGGGAACUGAGACACGGUCCAAACUCAUACGGGAGGCAGCAGUGAGGAAUAUUGGUCAAUGGGCGAGAGCUUGAACCAGCCAAGUAGCGUGCAGGAUGACGGCCCUAUGGGUUGUAAACUGCUUUUAUAGGGGAAUAAAGUGAGCUACGUGUAGUUUAUUGCAUGUACCCUAUGAAUAAGGACCGGCUAAUUCCGUG
rnacentral:rRNA from 1 species